CUUCGAUAAUGUAAAAUACUGUGUAAUGACAAUUAUUGAAACAACAGCAAUAUAAAUAUCAACGCAGCAAUUAUUAAAUCAAUAAAAUAAAAUACUGAACAGUAAUUACUGUAACCAUUAUUGAGUAGUGCAUUCUUACGUAAGAAUCAAUAAUUGGUGCAAUACCGUGUGCUACUGUGUUUUAACCACCGAGUAUUUUAACAGUAUUAACGGUAACAACUACGCCGUUAUUUUUAAACAACUUAUAUUUGUCAUUUUCUUCAUCCAAUCGCUUUCCGUUAUGGGGCCUACACAUGGC
rnacentral:lncRNA from 1 species